CACCUACGGGGCGCAGCAGUAGGGAAUCUUCGGCAAUGGGCGAAAGCCUGACCGAGCAACGCCGCGUGAAUGAAGAAGGCCUUCGGGUUGUAAAAUUCUGUUAUAAGGGAAGAAAGGUGAUAGGAGGAAAUGACUAUCAAUUGACGGUACCUUAUGAGAAAGCCACGGCUAACUACGUGCCAGCAGCCGCGGUAAUACGUAGGUGGCAAGCGUUAUCCGGAAUUAUUGGGCGUAAAGAGCGCGCAGGUGGUUAAUUAAGUCUGAUGUGAAAGCCCGGGGCUCAACCCCGGGACUGCAUUUGAAAC
rnacentral:rRNA from 1 species